rnacentral:rRNA from 1 species
AACCUGCCCAAGAGACUGGGAUAACACCUGGAAACAGAUGCUAAUACCGGAUAACAACACUAGACGCAUGUCUAGAGUUUAAAAGAUGGUUCUGCUAUCACUCUUGGAUGGACCUGCGGUGCAUUAGCUAGUUGGUAAGGCAACGGCUUACCAAGGCAAUGAUGCAUAGCCGAGUUGAGAGACUGAUCGGCCACAUUGGGACUGAGACACGGCCCAAACUCCUACGGGAGGCAGCAGGU